rnacentral:rRNA from 1 species
UGGGGAAUUUUGGACAAUGGGCGAAAGCCUGAUCCAGCAAUGCCGCGUGUGUGAAGAAGGCCUUCGGGUUGUAAAGCACUUUUGUCCGGAAAGAAAUGGCUCUGGUUAAUACCUGGGGUCGAUGACGGUACCGGAAGAAUAAGGACCGGCUAACUACGUGCCAGCAGCCGCGGUAAUACGUAGGGUCCAAGCGUUAAUCGGAAUUACUGGGCGUAAAGCGUGCGCAGGCGGUUGUGCAAGACCGAUGUGAAAUCCCCGAGCUUAACUUGGGAAUUGCAUUGGUGACUGCACGGCUGAGUGUGUCAGAGGGGGGUAGAAUUCCACGUGUAGCAGUGAAAUGCGUAGAGAUGUGGAGGAAUACCGAUGGCGAAGGCAGCCCCCUGGGAUAACACUGACGCUCAUGCACGAAAGCGUGGGGAGCAAACAGG